GUAACACGUAGGAACCGUACCCCAAACUGAGGAUAAGCACCAGAAAUGGUGUCUAAUACCGCAUGUGCUCUUCGGAGUAAAGCUACGGCGGUUUGGGAACGGCCUGCGCAUGAUUAGCUUGUUGGUGGGGGUAACGGCCCACCAAGGGCAUCGACGGGUAGCUGGUCUGAGAGGACGAUCAGCCACACUGGGACUGAGACACGGCCCAGACUCCUACGGGAGGCAGCAGUGGGGAAUCUUGCGCAAUGGGCGAAAGCCUGACGCAGCAACGCCGCGUGGGGAUGAAGGCUCUCGGGUUGUAAACCCCUUUCAGCAGGGACGAAUCAAGACGGUACCUGCAGAAGAAGCCCCGGCUAACUACGUG
rnacentral:rRNA from 1 species